CCUAUUUGUUUAUUCUUUAAAAGCAGAAUAAAUGUCUUUGUCUCUGUUGUAGACGGGCUGGAUGGAGUCAACAACCUGCUCACUGUGACUCUAGGAAGUUCAGUGAUUCUCCUUGCUGCUGUCAUCAUAGGCCUGGUUUGGAAAAUCAGGACUUUUCAUGAAGCUCCGACCAACAGACAGAAUCAACAACAAAAUGAGAACCUGGACUCUUUGAACUACGCAGGGCUGAAAUUCAAAGCAACCAGCAACAUGAGGCUUUCUGAAGAGAGAGAGACGGAGACCAGUGUGCUGUACGCUGCCACCAGAUAGGACGACAAAUAUUAUUUUGAUUUCCCCAGAAACGCGGACACUUGGUUCAGACCUGAAGCGCUUCAAUCAUCCUCUGUUUACAGAAGACCUUUGACCUUAACAUAAAGUGUGUUUUCUAUUAGUGGUUAGAAACUAUAACGGAAUAAACAAACUUCAGGCUUUCGCAAGUACAAAAAUGACUAAAAAACAUUGAAAUAAACAAAAUAUGUCUACAUCAACAUUAGCAUGAACCGAUGGUCAUUUUUUUAACGUAUCUGUAUCAGUCUGAUAA